AAAUCUGAGACAGCCUUGGUCUGAGGGAGCAAAGACAGAGAAUUCACGUGCUGCCCAGGCAUAGCCACAUAGCAGGUGGACAUCCCUGGACACUUUUCUGGCUUUGGUAUCAGAAUGAUGCUGGCCUCAUAAAAUGAGUUAGGGAGGAUUCCCUCUUUUUCUAUUGAUUGGAAUAGUUUCAGAAGGAAUGGUACCAGUCCCUCCUUGUACCUCUGGUAGAAUUCGGCUGUGAAUCCAUCUGGUCCUGGACUCUUUUU
rnacentral:antisense_RNA from 1 species